UCCCCGGUAGUAUAGUGGUUAGUAUUUCCGCCUGUCAUCACUUGAUAGUUUCGCGGGAGACCGGGGUUCAAUUCCCCGCCGAGGAG
rfam:Pyronema omphalodes CBS 100304, CBS100304, WGS project CATG01000000 data, contig: Pcon_v1_contig609